rnacentral:rRNA from 1 species
UACGUAGGGUGCAAGCGUUAUCCGGAAUUACUGGGCGUAAAGAGCUCGUAGGCGGUUUGUCGCGUCUGCUGUGAAAACUGGAGGCUCAACCUCCAGCCUGCAGUGGGUACGGGCAAACUAGAGUGCGGUAGGGGAGAUUGGAAUUCCUGGUGUAGCGGUGGAAUGCGCAGAUAUCAGGAGGAACACCAAUAGCGAAGGCAGCUCGCUGGGACGGUACUGACGCUAAGGCGCGAAAGCGUGGGGAGCGAACAGG